rnacentral:rRNA from 1 species
AUUGAACGCUGGCGGCAUGCUUUACACAUGCAAGUCGAACGGUAACAGGGUGCUUGCACCGCUGACGAGUGGCGAACGGGUGAGUAAUGCGUCGGAACGUGCCGAGUAGUGGGGGAUAACGCAGCGAAAGUUGUGCUAAUACCGCAUACGUACUGAGGUAGAAAGUGGGGGACCUUCGGGCCUCACGCUAUUCGAGCGGCCGACGUCUGAUUAGCUAGUUGGUGAGGUAAAGGCUCACCUAGGCGACGAUCAGUAGCGGGUCUGAGAGGAUGAUCCGCCACACUGGGACUGAGACACGGCCCAGACUCCUACGGGAGGCAGCAGUGGGGAAUUUUGGACAAUGGGCGAAAGCCUGAUCCAGCCAUGCCGCGUGUCUGAAGAAGGCCUUCGGGUUGUAAAGGACUUUUGUCGGGGAGGAAAUCCCCAGCGCUAAUACCGCUGGGGGAUGACAGUACCUGAAGAAUAAGCACCGGCUAACUACGUGCCAGCAGCCGCAGUAAGAC